UUUUCAAGGUCAUAACUUCAAUCUAAUUGCCGUUACCUUCAUAAAAGGGAGAUGCGGUAAACCCGAUAGUCGCUUCACACCGUUGACAGAUUAAAGUGCAAGUCAGACGCCAGAGAUUUUGACUGAUUGCCACAUUAGGAUUUAAAUUAAUUAACAUUUGACUGCAACCACAACUACUUACGAAUUAAGUCAUGAUCUCAAAAAAGCAUUUUUGUUACAUUAAGCUAACAUGAUUAUGAAAUGUGACAACAAGAACACAUAUUUUGAUCUCUAGAAGUAAUUAAAUGACUUGUGUAGCUUUAACAAAGUGGCUACUGUGUCUGUAGAGAGAUGUUUUGUUUCAUAAGCAUGCCUCGAAGUAAUGUGAGUCAGGGGGUUUAUAUUUAUAUCAAUAUAUCAAUUUUUAAAGCCUCAAACUACUACUUACUGCAUUUGGUUGUAUUAAACAUCAUAAGUGAUAUACAAGUGAAAUACAUUAUUUGGUACAUGAGAAAUUUCCAAACUGGCCAUUUUGGAGACCUGUCGUUACUAAAAACUCCCUCAUUUUCUGCUUCAAUCAAUCAAUGUCAGACUUUGCAGAGAGCAUGUACACUUAUGGGGCUAUGAUUUGGGAGAGGUUUAAAAAUGCAAAUGCAUCAUUCCAAAGUGGUAAACAUGAACUCGGAUUUUUUUUAUUUCUGCUGUGUGCCAUUUUCAUUUACUCUUAACCAGUAACAAAUACACUAAUAUUUACAGUACAGGUCUUUUUUGGAUAAUAGCUGACGCUUUUAUCCAAAGCAACCUACACUACAUUUUUGCCUGGGGAGCAAUUAGGGGUUAGGUGUCUUGCUCAGGGACACUUCAAUAUGGGACAUGGCAGCCAGGACUCGAACCACCAACCUUGCGGUUCCCAGCACUGCCUCUCUACCCCUGCACCACGACAACCCCUUUAAACAUCUGAACAAGUUUUAUAGGUGUUCCCUUCUAUAAAAUUAUUCAAAUAGACCAUACAGCUGAUAUACUCUUUUAAAAAUGGGUAUGCAAAUUCUGAGCAGCGGGUUAAUAAAUGGGAGGGUUUUGAGAGGUUAACUGUUGUGGUACAGAAGAUGCUGCCGUCUGUCAGCCUCCAGCAGACCUCAGUGGGUCAAAACAGUUCUGACUUAAGCCAUCUGUCUGUGGCGGCUACUGGGACCAUCGCUGCUUACCUCAGGGCUGUGCACUUUGCUCCUCUCGCAUCAUCAGUGAUGUCGCCUGACCUUUACUCUGUUUCAAGCAUUCAAUUAGUUGGUGCCCUUCUAGAAGUUCCUCUCAGACCAGUGUGGCUCUGACACUGAUCUGAGCACAUGCAUUGAUGGUCAGGGAACUGUCCCAGAGCUCCCAGCCAGCUAGUUAUCUGUGAAUACAUCACUGUGACGAGAGAGAGCGCAGCCUGUCACCACAAUAGUUAGAAAUUAAUGACGGUAAAGUGCACGGAAGUGCUAUCAAAUGGCUUUUAAAUUAUCGUCUUUUCCUACAAAAGAGACUUAAUGUUCCAAUGUUUUUUUCAAGUGGUAUUUGUUAAAAUCGGAGUUUUAGAAUUCUAGAUUUCAUCUCAUGGAUUUUAAUCCAUCAAAAGAAAAUGUCAAAGUCAAGUCUGCCUGGCAGCAGUUUCGAUAAAUUGUCUGUACAGAUCUUGAACAACCAGGCUUUCUAGAAUCUCUAUACUCUGUUCAGUGGUAUAGUACAACAGGGCCUAAAAUACACCAUCUCACGGCAGAUCGGUACAACAGACGUCAUGACGAUUUCAUUUUUUUAAAUGUCUGUGAAGACAGAGAGUAUGUGGUAGCUCAAAGAGGUCGCCGAGGAUGGAGAGAGCAUCCGUACCCUCUUACCGUUGAAGAGUUUAAUAUAUGGUUCCCCCUCGUGUUCUUUGUUCAGUGGUGUGACUGGCCCGCUCUGCAAAAGGUGUUUAGUCAGAUUGACAAAGCUAUCCAGAGAGACAGCGUCAGCAAGGCUUACUGGGCUGUUAGAAAAGGUCUUGUUUACGACAAUUCACCGAGUGGUGUGCAACCUGGUAUAUCUACUACCAUGUGUAGGCCGAAAAUGAUUCACCCCUCAACCAUCUAAUAGAAUGAUAGCUCUGAUGGUUCACACCCCACCUCAGACUCCGCCUCCCGGGCCUAUGGCCACACAGGAAGAAGAAAAGAAGUUCUGUGAACCUCACGAGGUGUUUAAGGAUACUGCCCGGUUCCUAGAAUACCUUAGAAUCGGGGUGCUACAUCUGCUGAACAAGGUCUGGGUUAAAUACAAUAUAGAGAUCUGCUACGGCUGUCAAACAAAUAAUCCCAGUCAGAAAAACCAUCCGUGUUUAUUUCCAUGUGACUGGUUCUUCGAACUACACUUUGAUCCGCUGAUGAAAAGGCUCUGAGAACUUCAUAUCCUCCAUCCUCCUGUUUAUGGAUAUGAAUGACCUUCAAGUCGAUGCAGACCGCAUCCAGGGGGGUGCGUAAGUACUUCUUGACGAUCUGAAAUCUGGAGGCAAUGCGGCUGAAAGUAUCCAAAAAAUGUAUGAUACAUUUAUCGGGGAAGAUGAACUCAAAAUGAACCAAAAAAGCAUGGCAGGUUGUGGGGAGAAGUACCAGCGGCGCAUGAAGCGUGGGAGGUACGCGAUGAUGAUGAUGAUGAUGAGGCAGACAUUGAUGUGUAAAAACAAUCAAACAUGCUAAGAGGAAAAAAAUUAAAUGAAAUUGAAAAUGAAGUGAACAUCUUGAGUGUUUUUUAUAACUGAAAAUGUAUUUUUGUUUUUCAAUGGGAUGAAAUACUACUAUACUCUCAAUCUUGC
ensembl:lncRNA